rnacentral:rRNA from 1 species
GAACCUGCGGAAGGAUCAUUGUCGAAACCUCGAUCGAAACGAAUGACUUACAAACACGUUAACAAAAUAGACGGAACGGUUCGCGUUGUGUGAGACCUCUUCCGCAUCUCCUCCACCCUCGAAUGUCGUUCCAACGUUAUCGUGAAAURGCUCCCUGGGUUUAUGUGGGAUGCCURUCGAGAGGCGGCGAUGGGUGCGGCAUCGCAACCAAACCCGGGUGCAAGCCGUGCCAAGCACAAUGGAUAUACAACCUAUGCCCUCCCUAUCGGCUUAGGCGACGCAGGCAGGUGUUGUGUCAUCAAAAUGCAUAAGAGAUGACUCUCAACAACGGAUAUCUCGAUUGUUGCAUCGAUGAAGAAAGUAGCGAAAUGUGAUACUUGGUAUGAAUUGCAGAAUCCCGUGAACCAUCGAGUCUUUGAAUGCAAGUUGAGUUCGAGCCCACUACGGUUGAGGGCAUGUCUGUCUGGGCAUCGCAUGCAGCGUCACCUAACACCUUCUCCCUUUUAUUGGUGUUGGUGGAGUAUGGCCUCUCGUGUCGUAUGUUAUGACGCGGUUUGCCCAAAUGGGAAGCUCGGGGCAAAGAAUGUCGUGACGAUGGGUGGUCAGCGAGRCCGAAAGGCACAGUUACGACGUCUUUUCAUUGCAGCAUUGUCCGUCGCUUGUUUCGAUCCCGAACUAGCACCAUGGUAGGAUACAAGGCGAUCCCAGAUCAGUCGGGGUYACCCGCUGAGUUUAAGCAUAUCAAUAAGCGG